GCUGGGUGCGUGGCACACACCUGUCAUCCCAGCAACUCAAGAGGCUAAGGCAGGAGGACUGCAAGUUCUAGGCCAGCCUUAGAAACUUAGCAAGACCCUGUCUCAA
rnacentral:sRNA from 1 species